GGAAAAGAAACCAACAGGGAUUGCCUCAGUAACGGCGAGUGAAGCGGCAAAAGCUCAAAUUUUAAAGCUGGCACCUCCGGUGUCCGCGUUGUAAUUUUGUGAGGCAUCUCCGGGUGGGGCGCCGGCCUAAGUUCCUUGGAACAGGACGUCAUAGAGGGUGAGAAUCCCGUGCUUGGCUGGCUGUCCCCGUCCAUGUGAGGUGUCUUCGACGAGUCGAGUUGUUUGGGAAUGCAGCUCAAAAUGGGUGGUAAAUUUCAUCUAAAGCUAAAUAUUGGUGGGAGACCGAUAGCGCACAAGUAGAGUGAUCGAAAGAUGAAAAGCACUUUGAAAAUAGAGUUAAAAAGUACGUGAAAUUGUUGAAAGGGAAGCGCUUGAGACCAGACUUCGGUGGGGAGUGAUCAGCCGUCCUUCUGGGCGGUGCACUUGCCCCCCUCCGGGCCAGCAUCGGUUGGGACGGCGGGAUAAAGGUCCCGGGAAUGUGGCUCCUCUCGGGGAGUGUUAUAGCCCGGGUGAAUGCCGCCAGCCCCGACCGAGGACCGCGCCUUCGGGCUAGGAUGCUUGGCAUAAUGGUCUUCAGCGACCCGUCU
rnacentral:rRNA from 1 species